GUGAAGUUCAAGAAGAGGUUUGCU
rnacentral:piRNA from 1 species